UCCAACCAUGAUGGCAUGCCUUGUUCCAUGCCUAGCCAUUUCAUGCCUUGGCUCAUGUCAAGCCUAACAUCAUCCCUGUAGCAAAUGAACUCAAAUGCAGUCACAUACAAGCAUUUUCACAUGUCAGCAGCAUAUAAAUACAACCAAGCCUAGUCAUGACAGCUCCAACAUACAAUGCAUUGCAAAAUUCAUCAUGCAUAUACAUAUACACAUGCUCAUGCAUAACCAUACCACUAUUAAUUCACUCACAUAGUUCCAACUAACUAAACUGAUUCAAUAACAGAAAAACCAAAAUGUUGUGUUUGUAACCUAUUAACCAAGAUGGUUAACCGGUUAUACCUAUGUUUCCAUGUUAUAUGUUUCCAUGUUAUAUGUUUCCAUGUUUCCAUGUUAGACAUAACAUUAUCAAUAUUUAACAUUUCAAAAUCACAUCAAGCAGCUAUAUGUUUCCAUGUUUCCAAAUUAGACAUAAUUCCAUAGCAUAUCAAUACCUCAAUUGAUCAACUCAGCCAACCAUCAUCCAUUCAAAGGCCAUAUUCACUAAUACACUAAUUAAUUCAAUAAAAAUAUACAUUCAUUCAAGUAAUACAAUCAUGUUUUAAGCAGUCCCAUAACAGAUCAAGUUACAUAGCAGUUCAAGCAUUUUAACAUCAAUAAGAUUUCCAUUCUUCUAACAUAACUAACUUACUAUAACUCUAACAUGGCUCAAAUUAAAAUCAAAUUAACUAACUAUUAACUAAUCAUUUCUAAUCUCACUAACAUCCCUAGCACACAACUAAUAGUUCCAUGACUAAUUCAAAUUAACUUUCAACACUGACAUCAUUCUAAUAGUUCAUUAACAUUCAACAAACUAAUUCAAUGACAAUCCCAAUGGUUCAAUAACACAAGCAGUUCAAUAACAAUUAACAAUUCCUAACAGCCUAACAAUUCUUAAGCUAACACUAAUAGCAAGUUAACUUUGUUAUUUCUCUAACUAAUUAUAUCUUUGAUUCAACUAACUUUAACCCCUACCCUAACCUCCAACGAACUCUACCCCAAUUUCCUGAAAUUGUUACAAUCCAAUUCAUCUAUAUAGUCUCAUUCCAUCUUCAAUCAGGAAAAUCUCACACACUCUGUAAAUUUUACUCUCAUCGCUAUUUCUUUCUGUAUUCAAUCUCCUUCACCUCACCACACUCAGAGCUUACAAAGUUCCUCUAUUGUCAAACAAGCUUCACCUUGAAGCUUGACACAACAAGAGAUGAACCUUACUCUACACCCUACUCUAAUCAACUACAACCAUACCACAAAUUCUCCCUACAAAUUAUAGACUCAAGAAGAAGAAGAAGAAGAAGAAAAGGAAACAUUCUGCAAGCACUGAGAAUUCAAAUUACUUAUCUGAUGAUUGUAUUCUCUGCUCUUCUUUUAUUCUUCAGCUUCAUCAUCUUCAUCUUGAACAAGAAUCAAGGCCAGCCUCCGUCUUAUAGGUAGGUCUUCAAAAACUCCACUUCUUUGCUCCAAUCAUGUUACCGCUAUGUAGAGUAGGAUGAGGGGAAUAAAAGCCCCAAGGUUGAAUGGCUUGGUUCCCCUCCGUUUGCGUUUAAUUCCAUUUUUAGGAUUUAGGGUUCUUCUUGAUUUUGGCCCAAAUUUGGAUUUUUGUUGAGGUUCAGAAGGAGAGAGUGUGAGAGAUGGAGAGAGAGGAUGUUGAGAGGUUUCAAGAGGUGGUGGUUUAUAGGCGUUCUAGGUUUCCCUACCGCCUCCGAUGCGGUAGAGCCAUUUUCAGUGGGGGAGGAAAUUUUAGAGAAAAUGAGAGAGGAUCAAUAAGGCUAGAGACAUGAAUUAGAUGAUUUGAACAUUCACUCUUCCUUUCCCCAUUCACAUUGGGCCUCAGGCACCCCAAGCCCAUAGGGCUUUGCUUCUUACACCUACACAUUGCUACUGCCCCUUCCCAUUUUGAAUGUUCAACAAGGCAUUAACACCUUGGGAAUGUUUUGUAUUAGCCUAGCAUGCAUUUUCUUGGCCACACGCCCUUUCCACGAAUGCACCCCCUUCUGGAUGCAGAGCAAGGCAGCAACACACCUUGGGCCUUCGUUAUCAAGUCCAGUGUCGUUUCUUCUUGGCCACACCCUUGUGGUCUACAACACCCCCUGCAUGAUUGUUUUAAUUAAUUAGUGAUAUACUUUGUGAUUUUUUUUUAUUUUAAUUCUUUUUAAUACACAUUUUAAAAACAUGUUAAUACACUAAUAAAACACUUAAAAAUACAUAUUAACAAAUAUUAUUUUGUUAGAUUAGGAUUAGUUUUAAUUAAGUUUAAUUCCUAAAUUUUUUAAAAUUCAUUUCAUGUUUAGUUAGAAAUUAGGGUUGACAUGAUAUUUUCCAAUUCUUAAUGCCAUUGUUUUAUUUAAAUCCAUGUGCUUACUAUAUCUUUUUAGCAUGAUCAUACCCUUGAUUAGUUGAUCAAGAUCAUUCUUGAUUAAUUAAUUACAUUGCAGUGAUUAGCCUAGGCUUUUCAUGACUUGUCCUGAGCAAUUAUAUGAUCCCUCUUAGGACUAUAUUUAAUUGAGCGAUCAUAAGUCUCUUAAUCACUUGAUUGAAUUGGGACCUUUACACUUGCACCUGCCUUCAAUUUACACUCAAGUCAAGACUCUGCAUUCAAGACUUUGAAGACAGAAGGACAUCAAGACCCUGAUCAUUGCUGAGCUUCAAGUUCACCUUGCCUCUUCAAAAUAAAAAGAUUAUUCUCUUUCAAAACAUGUUAGUUGUGAUGCGAAUUGUGCGUCACGAGCCUUAAGAAGUGGAGAAGGAAUAAGAGGGAGUAUUCCUACACUUAUUCUGAAUAUAUUUGGAUACGGGAAGCAUGACCCAGUUGUUCAAAGUAUUCACCUCUAUUCAUAUACUUUAGUACAAUUCAAAUCAAGACAACUUUCAUAAAUUAGGACAUGUUAUUUUCGUUAUACGCUGAUACAAACAAACACUUAAGUCUAUCAUGCACGAGUAUACAAGAAACGCUUAACUACUAGAAUGCGAAUGUUAACACUGAUCAAUAAAAAUAAUGAGCAAACACUUAUUUUCCACCCUACGAACUACGAGGCUCUGAUUUUCUCAUUGCAGUAUGAGAAUACGUAAGCACGGGAUUUCAAAAUCUUGGCGAGCAUACUAAUUAAAAACUUAUUUUUCCCUUAAAUUUAAACCAAUCGUAAGUAACCUUUAGAUAAUAACACUCAUCCAUGCAAAACGAAAAAAAACGGUUCCCGUUGAGUACAACGGAUGUGAAAGGUGUUAAUACAUUCCCUUUGCAUAAUCGAAUCCCGAACCCGAAUUUGGUUAUGACGGCCAUCUUCUUUUCUUUUAAGGGUUUUACCGAUAUUUUCCCUUUUCUUUGGAAUAAACAAAGUUCGGGGGUGACUCUGUAUUUUUCGGUGAGUGACACCGAGUAAGCAAGAGUUGGAUGAAGAUAAUGUUUUUGUUUUGGUUAGGUUGGUUUGCAUGGUUGUUUGAUGUUAUGGUGUGGGGGUUUAUUUCUUCAAGAAGGUGAUGGUGAGUUUAUGAUUUUGAAGCUCAUACUAUAUAUGGAGGUAUGGUGAAGAAGAUGCAAGAGGUUGUUAUGUGGGUUGAAGGGAGAUGGAGCGGAUGGAAGGAAAGGGUCUGAAUCGAAGAAGGAAUAAGGGAAAUAUGAAAGUGUUAUGGUGUGAGGUGAUUAAGAUGAAGGAGAUGCAGGGAGGCAGUUAUGAAGAGUGUUUUAUGUGAGUGAAUGGAGAGUGGAAAAAUGAUGUAUGUGGUUUUAAAGAGAAAAUGGAAAACAUGGCUGGAAGUGUUGGGAAAAAGAAGUGAAGUGUGUCAAGGGUGAAUCAAAUGAGAGUAUGAGAGAGGCUUUGAAAAAAAAACUAAAAAAAAUGCAUGAUAAUUUUUUCUUUGUGUUUUCUUCUUUCUUAAUGAAAGAGGUUCAAAAGAUCUCCCCCUCCCCAUUCGAUGCGUCACCCUUUUUAGUGGAAAACUGAGUGAUGUUUUUUUUUAAGAGUGCCUUGGGGACGCGUGGCUCAACAUUAUUGGCGGGAGAGAGAUAUUUUGUUUUUUAAAAGAGGGGGACAUGUUGCUGAUGCAAUGGUUGAAGGUUUUAUUUUUGCAAAAUCAAUUGAAAAACAUAGAUAAAUGGAGGUGAGAGAUAGAUGAAAUUGGUGAGUGGUUGGUUUACGUGUGUGAGGAAAUAUUUGAUUUUCAUUUCACCCUUUCCAUUAUGGGCGCGUGUCCCAUGCUCAGUGAAGGGAGUAUUGAUUUCUUUUGAUGAUAAGAACAAAUUCCAGGUUGUAUUAGUUAUGAGUAGGAGAAUUUUCUAUGGAGAUAAAUGGAUAUUAACGUGUAUUGGAGUCCACAUGGAAUUUAUCUUAGUGAAGAGAACACUAUCAACCUCUUUUGUUAUUUUUUCAAUUUCUUUUUCUUAUGAUUUUUAUAUUUUGAAAAAGGUUUAAUAAUUAGAUAAAAUAAAAAUAAAUUCAAUCUAACUACCCAAUUAAUUCUAAUUAAUUCAAUUGAUUAUUUUGAUUACAAAAAUAAAAAUAAAAGGAUAAAAAAUGAAUAAAAAUCGGACACAGAAAUUUCCGGAAAAUUAAACUGAACGCACCAAAAUGAUCAAUGCAAAAUAAACCUCUCAGAAACAUACAAGUUUUGAUCAAUUUUUGAAAUAAAAAAUAAAUUAUUAAAAAGGCCCAGGAUGACCAAAACUACCUGAACCAUAGAUUAACAAUAUUGAUGUCUGCAAGCUCGAUUUCAAAAAAUUUCGCCCCUUAAUUUUUCGUACAUUUGAGGAAUGAUUCAAUCAAUCUGUUUGUGGAUCCGAGAAUUUAUUUAGGUCAAUAUUUUAGGCAUUAUGCAAGAUGAAAGACAUGUAAUGAUAUGCAGAUGAUGCAAAGUAAAGUAAAGUCGGAUAUAUGAAAGUUUCAAAAUGCAUCGAACAAAAUUGUGGUAUGAUAGCUUCCCCUAUUUAAUUACCUUGAACCAGAAGAUAUGAAUGACAACAGUCUUCAUAGAUUCAUGGUCGAAGAUAAUUAAAUAUGAAAAGACCCAAAUUUUGUACUUCGAGAUGCGGAGAUGAUGAAAUGUAGAGAUGGAAUACAGAGAGAAAAUGCAAUGAAAUUCAGGAAGAACAAGUUUAUUUGCAAAGCUCUGCAAGGGAAAUCUCAUAAGAUACUUUUUAGGGUAACCUCUGCUUGGGGAGAAAAAAAUAGUGGAGAUGCUGAGGAAUAUUAUUAUCAACAUAAAGUUUGAAGAAUGACUCGUUGGGGAAUAAAAUUCCAUGAGCACAUGUAGGGUAAGUACUAUUUCGGAGAAAUACCGCCAAAUUGAAUGAGGACCGACCUGGAUACUAAUGGUUAUCCCUGGAUCAUGAAUUGUGUCAUGUAUGUUAUGAUGUUUUGUAUGACAUUCCACUUUGGGUGGAAUUACCAUGCACAGAAUGAUGCAUGGAGAUGCAUGUACGUAUGCAACUGUUGGGGAUUUUUUUAGGUGCAUGUAGAAAUGCGAAUAAUUUUUUUUAUUUUGAUGAAGCUCUCCAUUUCAGCGGGAAUACUAUGCAUAUGUAUGCUGAUGAUUGAUAGGAUCAUGUUUUUUAAAACUUUGCAUUUCGUCGAGAAGGUUAUGCAUGAAGUGAUCCAUGUGAUGCAUGUAGGAAUGCAACUGGGUAAUUGGAUUUUUUUGUAGGGCUUUAUUUUUUGUCUUCAAUGAAAGAUUGUUGGGGAGUAUCAUCAUCAAAGGGUUGAUGGAAGAUAAUGAAUGUCGUCAUCAAGUGGUUGACGGAAAAGAAUUUGUCAUUAUCAAAGGGUUGACGGAAAAGACUUCACUAAGGAGUGACAUCAUCAAAGGGUUGAUGGAAAGGACUUCACUAUGGAGUGAAAUCCUUAAAGGAUUGAUGGAAAGAACUUCUCCAAGGAGUGACAUCAUCAAUGGGUUGAUGGAAAGAACUGUUUAGGUAACAUCGUCGUCAAAUAGUUAAUAGAAAGGAUUAUAAAAGAUUGUCAUCAUCAAAGGGUUGAUGGAAAAGAAUAAUUAUGUGAUGUCGUCAUCAAAAGGUUGAUGGCAUCAUUAAAGGGUUGAUGGGAAAGGGAAAUUUUGGAAUAUCGUCAUUAAAGGGUUGAUGGCAUCAUUAAAGGGUUGAUAGGAAAGGAUUGUGUUAUGUAUGCAUGUGGUCCAUGUUAAUGAAAACUUAUCAUUUUGGAGAGAGAGAUUUUUGAUAUGAAACUUCCUGUUUUGGAAGGAAAUUUAUGCAUGAAGUGAUGCAUGUUUGGAUGGAAACUCAUCAUUUCGACGAGAGAGCUUUUUUAUGAAACUUCAUAUUUUGGCAAGAAAGUUAUGCAUGUAUGUUGUAUGCAAUGCAUGAGGGAAUGCAAGCAUGUGAUUAGUUUUGGAUUGGUCUCCUUUUUUCAAAGGUGAGAUCUUUUAUGGGUACUAAUGUUGAUUGGAUUUGAGUUUAUGAAGAUGCCAGCAGAGUAGACUUUGGUUUUUUUAGUAGUUGCCAAUAUGGAUUAGACUUUUGGUUUUUUGGUAGUUGCCAAUAUGGAUUGGACUUUUGGUUUUUUGGUAGUUGCCAAUAUGGAUUGGACUUUUGGUUUUUUGGUAGUCACCAAUAUGGAUUGGAUUUUUGGUUAGUGAAAGGAUUUGACUUCCCAACACUCGGUUUUUUGACAAUGCUAUAAUCGUAGGCUAAAUGUGGAUGCCCUUGGUGCCCUAAGUUUGACCCCUUGUUGAUAAGCUGCGUGAUUGUUCCUGGGAGGACCUCAACUUCUUUGCUUGAUAUGCCAUGAUGAUCUGCAAAAAAUUUCAUGAGUGUAGUGACAUAAUCAAUGCAUGACAAUUGUAUUUUUGCUCCGCCUUAAGGUUUUCUACUAGGAGGAGAUAGGACGAUGUUAUACUAGCGUGAUCACUGGACACUUUCUGUGAACUCAAUGGUUACUAGUGUCUGGCAUGGUCUGCUUGACCAACUUGCCAGUAUGGAGGGAACUAGCCCUUUCUAACUUGUUUGCCCCAGUUUGUGGGGUCUUUGAAAGAUUUCGCUUUGAAAGGAAGCCUUGGGAGCAAUCAUACCAUGACAUGGCCUGAGAUGAUUUGCCCAAGUGUCUGAAACUUGCAGUGGUCUGCCCCUGAUUAACUGGUUCUUGAAACGGUUUACUUUGAAUCAACUAAUCUUUGGACGUUGGGCUUCAAUGUACCCUUGAGGUGAUUUUCCUACAUCUGAGCCUUUGAGGGACUUGCCCCAGAUUGACUGAGUAUCGAAAUGAUUUUCCUUCCUGAUCACUUGAUGCUCAGAGAUUUGUUUCAGACUGACCAGUUCUUAGGUCAAAAUAAGCAUUGGAUGCCACGCCCGUGAUUCAUAGGGUUAUGAGGUGGUCUUGAUUCGAGCUAGCACUGACGAAUGAUCAAGUUCCUGUUUGAUUGCUUCUUUGAAGUUCCUUGAUGUCAAGUACUGACUUGCAAUUAAAAUUGUUCAUUCAAAACUGGUAAUUUUAAUGUGAUAUUCAUGCAAGUUUAAAAAAAAUCAUUUAUUGGAAUGAUGUGGUAGUGUGUGACGAGUGAACCAUUAGUUCAAACUUAGUGUUGAUUUAGCCAACGUGUGAAAGAUACAUCGAAAUAUGAUACAAGUACAUGUGAUUAGAAAAUAUCUAGGAAUCAGUUUA
rnacentral:lncRNA from 1 species